GCAGGAGUGGUGGAAUUGGCAUACACGCUAGAUUUAGGUUCUAGUGCUCGAAAGGGCUUGAGAGUUCGAGUCUCUCCUCCUGUA
rnacentral:tRNA from 1 species